CACAGAGAGACCAGUGGCAUUUACAUGAAACCAGCUGCCGUGGUUACCAUUGACGUUGUCUGGAGACUGAAGAUGAAGGCAUCACUGGCUAGGUAACAUUUACUGCACAUCCCGAAUUACCCAGAGGGAAAUUAACAGUCAACCACAUUGCUGUGGGUCUAGAAUCACAGACCAGGCCUGUACAUCGAUUUAAAUAUAAUUUAUAUUCCCUGCCUUCACUUCCUGCGCUUACAUCAGUGAGAAUUCUUCAAUCUGAUUGCUCAGGCAGCUUUUCUGCUGCCUGUCCUGUUCAUAGCCCCAUGCAUAGAACAAACAGGUGUUGAAGGAGUAGAGAUCAGGAACCUUCACUGAUAAGUCCAUGGAAAGUCUGGGUUUAACUAUGUGGCACAAGAAUUGUGAAACUUCAGGUCUUUCUAUUUUGUUUGGCUUUUGAUGGAUAUAUGUUGAUCAAUUAUCCUGUGUUUGUCUUCAAAUAGUGGAGUUGCAAAUUUUUGCAUUCUUCUAUUAGGACCGGUCUCAGAUGCCUGUUUUGUAGCUUACCCAAAAGGUAAAACCUCUGAAAAUUCAUGACAUUCUCAGUAUUGUACCCAUGUAUCAGCAUAGACUAUGUGCUCAUAGCUCAUUGUGAAUUCAGUUACACACAAUCUUCAGAUUAAAAUAUAUGAUACUACCACUGAGAAAAGGAUCAGGUUAAAACUCUUGCC